CACCUGCUGCCCUCUCCCCGUCCCCAACAGCCGCUCUCCCUCUUUCCGGAGACCCCCCUUACAAAAGCGGCAGGCUUAACUCGGAAUUAAUCCCAUGCAAUCUAAUGGAACUCAUUCCAGGGUUGGCUCGCAAAGAUUAGCUUCUUGCGCACUCACCACUUUCUCUGUUAAGUUGUAUGAUACCCAAAGCUACACUUUCCUGGAAUCACUGAUUACUCGUAGCGGUGAAUUCAGUCCAGAAAUAAAGCGACGAAUUUCACUAGGAUGUAUGGCAAUGACAAGCAUGAAUCGAGUGUGGAAAAACAAGAACCAUCAGCUUGGCAACCGAGUGCAGAUUGGUCCAAGUGAUCAAUUUUUUUCUAUUGCAACCUAGUGUUGUGAAAGUUGGACAAUGAAAAAGACAAGAGGAAAAUUGACUCAUUCAAACUGUGAUGUUGGUGGAGGCUUCUGCACAUUCCGUGGACAGCGCGGGUGAUGAACAAGCAUGUGCUAGAGCAUAUUAAACCAGACACAUCCCUGGUCAGCAAGAUAACAAAACUGAGACUUGUUAUGUGAUCAAGCUCAUUAGAAAAAGAUACAGUGCUUGGAAUGCUCAGGGCAAGAGAAAACCAGGUUGCCAAAGAGCAAGAUGGUUAGACUCCAUCAAAGAGGAUGUGAGCCAGAGCAUGAUUCAGCUGAAAAAGGAAGCAUAGGAUCAGAAAGUGUGGCGCGAUUGGCCCAUGGGAUCGCUUAUAGUCAGGCACAACUGAACAACAACCUAAAACUAACCAAAUCCCACAAGCUCUUUUUCUUGGUAGUAAGUAGUAAUAGCAAUUUAUUUAUUUAGAAAAUUUGUAGGUCAUCCAUCAAUGUCAUCUCUGAAUGACUUACAUUAUUUCAAAUUCUAAAUAAAAUAAAUUAACUGUUCCACAACUGAGCAUAAAACUAACCUAUUUAAAAUAAAUUAAAUCUAAUACAAUUAAAAUUACUUUAUGUUAAAAUAUUGGUCAAAUAGAAAGGUCUUAUACUCCUACAGCUUUCAGUACUGUUUCUCAAAUACAUAAUUAAAAUGUGUGAGAAGUAUAUGCAGCUUGUCCUUAAAACCCAGUUCAGUACAAGUAUUCAUAAGCUAAAGAUCCCAGAGAAACAUUUUUAAACACAAAUAUCAUAAGGAAAACCCUCUUUCUUUUAACAUGUCUUUUGGUAUUUAUUUUAUUAUUUAUUAUUUGCAUUUAUAUACCACCCUAGUAGCCCAGAGGGCUCUCUGGGUGGUUUACAAACAUUAAAACCUACCAAUCCUAAACAAAUAAAUUGGCUAUACAAAAGCUGAUAAUUUAUACAAAUGUUGAUAAUUUAUACAAAAGCUGAUAUUAAGGACAUAUUUUUUGUAAGGAGGGCAUCCACUUCUUAUUUGCAUGAAGAUCUCUGGCAUUGACACCAUUAAGGUCUAGUGAUAGUGAUAUGGGCCUAUUUAUUUAAAGCAUUUACUCAGCUUUUCUGCUAAAGAAGUUCCCUAAGUAGCAUAUAUACCACAAAAAGCAAGAUGAACGUAAUGCAAAAAGAGAGAGAUUGAGAAAGAAGACAAGCAAACUCGGGUAUCAGGGUUUUUUUAAGCUAGAAAGAUUUUAUAAAAGCUGGCUGAAAUUGAAACAGAUCAUGGGUAGGAGAGCCCCCAAAGAAUCUGACUUCCUACCAAUGGUGAAGGAGUGCCUCCUAUAGGAUUUGCUGUCAUUUUUUCACUUGUUGUAGUUUGAUGGAAUGGCUUCCAACCAGUGAUAAAUUGAGAGUUACUGUCAAUUUCCCAGUAUACUUCAAUCCCCUUUAUUUCUAGUAAUUGUCAUAAAAAACGUGAUGGGGUAGGAUUCAUCUUGGUGUUUUGUACCAGUCUUUACUUCUAUAAUAGCAAUUAUACUGUUGAUCUAGUGGCAUUCAAACAGGCUUUCUAAGUGUAUUAUUUUUGGUUUUAAUACUACUAAGUUAGGACUGUGGUGCUGGGUGCUGGUAACAGAAAUAACCACUAGAUGGCAGUGCAUGGGAGGAAUAUUGUCUGUAAUGUGCCAUUGUUGUCAAUGCAAAUCUAUUAUAGAACAAGGAUUAAAGAGUGAGAACCAAAUGUACAAGAUUGACUAAACAGAAAUAGUUUUCACUUUAAUAAUUUAAUGCUUGCAGUAGUGUGUUUUGAAACAUAGUGAAAUACAAUACAGUUAACAAUAUCAGUGCAGUUUACAGGUGAAUCCUGGAUUCCUGAUUAUUGGAAGAUGAGAUAUAAGUUUGGUUCCUCUGCCUUUUAUAAAUGGGAAAGGCUUUUGAUAUGUUUGCUCUAGCAUAGGAGGUAUGUGUAAUGUAUAAACUGAGCAGCUGCGCAAGCCCUGAAAUACUGCUUACGAGUUCUCAACCCCAGGUCCCUUGUUCCGAACCUCAUAGAAGCAUACCUAAAGCAACCACAUUGCUAGCCAGCUUGAUGAUUCUACAUAUCAGCAGGUUGGGCCUUUAGUUCUUGUGAAAAAUCUUAAUCCUUCCUAGCAAAUUUUUCCCCUCUCCAUAUUCAGAUUAAAAUUACAAUCCUGUCUACAGUCAGAUAGGAAAGAUUAAGGAGUUGCCCCGAGACUGCAGAACUGAAAGGAAGCACAUGCUGAGCUGUGUUAUUAGCCAAGGGGUCAAACCGUCUUGAAGACUUCAUUCCUGCCCCAUAGGAAGGAAGCACAUUUAUCAUAUUAAAGGUGCUAUCCACUGGCCCAAAGAAGCAGCCAGAAAAACCCUACAUUCCAACUGUCCUAACCAUACAACUAAAGGCAAUUCUGCAGAAUCUCUAUUCCAUGAGUUGGCCACAGGAUUAAGGGCUCUGAGGCGUGUGCUCGUAGAUAUGCGACCUUUGUUUUGUUUAUACUCAAACCUGUUGCAAGGCAAUUUGAGAACCAUUAGAUUGAAAGGUGGAGUAUAAAAUCCUCUAAACUAGGAUGACAGUGAGAUUGUUGAAAAGGACGGAAUGCAAUAACCAAGUAUGUAAAGGAUAGCAAAGAAAAUGAUGGAGGAAAAUAAACAGUCAAACAAUGUGUCACUAAUUCAGAAACGUACUGAAUUAGUGGAUUUCAAAGGUAUGUUGGUGAUAUAAGUUUCUAUAAGUACUCAGAUGAUGUAAUAGGUUGAACUCCAAAAAGCCACGCCUCGGUCUCUAGCCCUUUAAGCUGCUUGCUUUGCUUGGCAUUAAAGUCUAGUUGCUCACAAUAGUACAACAGAGAUUUCAUUAGCAUUGCUCUGACUGUGAUAGUCUGUUUUCAUGGAACUGGGGAGUUUUCCUUUCCUGAUGGCACAAGGACCAUGCACAAUGCCCUUGAAUGUUCCUUACCAGGCUAUUAUUUUGAGCAAGAGCAGCAAUGCGCCUGACCUCUCAUGUUCAGCCAGAGAUGAAACAUCCACAUUCAGGCAGGAAUCCUCCUUGCUAGCUCUCUCUACUUCAUUAUUUCUUAGCACCUAUGUAAACAGUAGUACUCUUCUAGCCAUGUAUUUUAAUUAUGAACAGUGCUACAAUGCUAUAAGUUAAGCAAUCUAUAAAAGCUAAGCCACUUUCUUUGAUCUCUGGUUCAGAGUCUUUUUGAGGGGGGAUUUUGCUGUUUUUUCUGAACCCGAUUGAAGGAGCCCUCACUGUGUAGUGUAAGAGUCUUGCUGCUAAAUGUUUUGGAAGUCUAGCUAGCAUGUUUGAAUAUUAUUGCAGCAAUAAAUAAUCUCCUUCUUAGUAAACCUGGAGUAUCACAGAGUAUCACUCUCUAGAAAUCAUUAAAAUUGCUUAUUUUGGCAUCACCCAAAGACCUUUUUAUUCAACCAUCAUUUUAAUAAUUAAGGCUUUUUAGAUGCGUUUAAGAUUUCCACAGUUGCAUUUUUUCUUUUUCUUCCUUUUCUUUAGCUAUGAAAGUGGCUGCUAUGUUGGUCUAUUAUCUAUUGUUUUAAUUAUUGUAUCACUGUAUUUUGUAUGUCAUUUUAAUCACUGUAAGCCAUCCUGAUCUGUACAUCAAAAAGGAUGGGAUAUAAUUGUUUUAAAUAAAUACAAAUAAAUAAAUAAACAUUUGGCCCCCGGCCAGGGCAACAUAUGA